UGGGGAAUAUUGCGCAAUGGGGGGAACCCUGACGCAGCCAUGCCGCGUGAAUGAAGAAGGCCUUCGGGUUGUAAAGUUCUUUCGGUAUUGAGGAAGGAGUGUAUGUUAAUAGCAUACAUUAUUGACGUUAAAUACAGAAGAAGCACCGGCUAACUCCGUGCCAGCAGCCGCGGUAAUACGGAGGGUGCGAGCGUUAAUCGGAAUAACUGGGCGUAAAGGGCACGCAGGCGGUUAUUUAAGUGAGGUGUGAAAGCCCCGGGCUUAACCUGGGAAUUGCAUUUCAGACUGGGUAACUAGAGUACUUUAGGGAGGGGUAGAAUUCCACGUGUAGCGGUGAAAUGCGUAGAGAUGUGGAGGAAUACCGAAGGCGAAGGCAGCCCCUUGGGAAUGUACUGACGCUCAUGUGCGAAAGCGUGGGGAGCAAACAGGAUUAGAUACCCUGGUAGUCCACGCUGUAAACGCUGUCGAUUUGGGGAUUGGGCUUUAAGCUUGGUGCCCGUAGCUAACGUGAUAAUUCGACCGCCUGGGGAGUACGGCCGCAAGGUUAAAACUCAAAUGAAUUGACGGGGGCCCGCACAAGCGGUGGAGCAUGUGGUUUAAUUCGAUGC
rnacentral:rRNA from 1 species